rnacentral:rRNA from 1 species
CAGAGGAAGGCUCGUCCGCUCUGGGUUAGUCGGGUCCUAAGCUGAGGCCGACAGGCGUAGGCGAUGGAUAACAGGUUGAUAUUCCUGUACCACCUAUAAUCGUUUUAAUCGAUGGGGGGACGCAGUAGGAUAGGCGAAGCGUGCGAUUGGAUUGCACGUCUAAGCAGUAAGGCUGAGUAUUAGGCAAAUCCGGUACUCGUUAAGGCUGAGCUGUGAUGGGGAGAAGACAUUGUGUCUUCGAGUCGUUGAUUUCACACUGCCGAGAAAAGCCUCUAGAUAGAAAAUAGGUGCCCGUACCGCAAACCGACACAGGUAGUCAAGAUGAGAAUUCUAAGGUGAGCGAGCGAACUCUCGUUAAGGAACUCGGCAAAAUGACCCCGUAACUUCGGGAGAAGGGGUGCUCUUUAGGGUUAACGCCCAGAAGAGCCGCAGUGAAUAGGCCCAAGCGACUGUUUAUCAAAAACACAGGUCUCUGCUAAACCGUAAGGUGAUGUAUAGGGGCUGACGCCUGCCCGGUGCUGGAAGGUUAAGAGGAGUGGUUAGCUUCUGCGAAGCUACGAAUCGAAGCCCCAGUAAACGGCGGCCGUAACUAUAACGGUCCUAAGGUAGCGAAAUUCCUUGUCGGGUAAGUUCCGACCCGCACGAAAGGCGUAACGAUUUGGGCACUGUCUC